AUUGAACUCUGCGGCAGGCUUAACACAUGCAAGUCGAGCGAGCGGCGGACGGUUGAGUAAUGCUUAGGAAUCUGCCUAUUAGUGGGGGACAACAUCUCGAAAGGGAUGCUAAUACCGCAUCCUAAUAGAUGAGCCUAAGUCGGAUGUGCUGUUUGGUGGGGUAAAGGCCUACAAAGGCGAAGAUCUGUAGCGGGUCUGAGAGGAUGAUCCGCCACACUGGGACUGAGACACGGCCCAUACUCCUACGUGAGGCAGCAGUGGGUAAUAGUGGACAAUGGGGGGAACCCUGAUCCAGCCAUGCCGCGUGUGUGAAGAAGGCCUUCGGGUUGUAAAGCACUUUCAGCGGGGGGGCGUUACCCGCAGAAGAAGCACCGGCUAACUCCGUGCCAGCCGCGGCGGUAAUUC
rnacentral:rRNA from 1 species